AUUGCAGGCUGCAACCCGCCUGUAUGAAGUUGGAAUCGCUAGUAAUCGCGGAUCAGCAUGCCGCGGUGAAUACGUUCCCGGGCCUUGUACACACCGCCCGUCACACCAUGAGAGUCGGGAACACCCGAAGUCCGUAGUCUAACCGCAAGGAGGACGCGGCCGAAGGUGAGUUCGAUAAUUGGGGUGAAGUCGUAACAAGGUACC
rnacentral:rRNA from 1 species